ensembl:snoRNA
GCUGUGAUGACACAUUCUUGAUGAUCUGUUUGAGUUGAUUGUCCUCUAAGAAGUUCUGAGCCA